rnacentral:rRNA from 1 species
AUUGAACGCUGGCGGCGUGCUUUACACAUGCAAGUCGAACGGUAACAGGCCUUCGGGUGCUGACGAGUGGCGAACGGGUGAGUAAUGCAUCGGAACGUACCCAGAGGUGGGGGAUAACGCAGCGAAAGCUGUGCUAAUACCGCAUGCGAUCUGAGGAUGAAAGCGGGGGACCGAGAGGCAAUGUUUGGCCUCGCGCCUUUGGAGCGGCCGAUGUCGGGUUAGCUAGUUGGUGGGGUAAAGGCCUACCAAGGCGACGAUCCGUAGCUGGUCUGAGAGGACGACCAGCCACACUGGGACUGAGACACGGCCCAGACUCCUACGGGAGGCAGCAGUGGGGAAUUUUGGACAAUGGGCGCAAGCCUGAUCCAGCAAUGCCGCGUGCGGGAAGAAGGCCUUCGGGUUGUAAACCGCUUUUGGCAGGAACGAAACGGUUUCCGCUAAUACCGGGCGCUAAUGACGGUACCUGCAGAAUAAGCACCGGCUAACUACGUG